rnacentral:miRNA from 1 species
UUCUCUUUGGUUGUUACCACUAG